UACGGAGGGUGCAAGCGUUGUCCGGAUUUAUUGGGUUUAAAGGGUGCGUAGGCGGCCCGUUAAGUCAGCGGUGAAAGUCUGUGGCUCAACCAUAGGAGCGCCGUUGAUACUGAUGGGCUUGAGUGCCGUAUGGGUACAUGGAAUUGAUGGUGUAGCGGUGAAAUGCAUAGAUACCAUCAGGAACACCGAUAGCGUAGGCAUUGUACUGUGCGGCAACUGACGCUGAGGCACGAAAGCAUGGGUAGCGAACAGG
rnacentral:rRNA from 1 species